rnacentral:rRNA from 1 species
UACGUAGGGUGCGAGCGUUGUCCGGAAUUACUGGGCGUAAAGAGCUCGUAGGUGGUUUGUCACGUCGUCUGUGAAAUUCCGGGGCUUAACCUCGGGCGUGCAGGCGAUACGGGCAAUACUUGAGUGCUGUAGGGGAGACUGGAAUUCCUGGUGUAGCGGUGAAAUGCGCAGAUAUCAGGAGGAACACCAAUGGCGAAGGCAGGUCUCUGGGCAGUUACUGACGCUCAUGCGCGAAAGCUGGGGUAGCGAACCGGAUUAGAUA